CGAAAGCCUGACGGAGCAACGCCGCGUGAGGGAUGAAGGCCUCUGGGCUGUAAACCUCUUUUCUCAAGGAAGAAGAUCUGACGGUACUUGAGGAAUAAGCCACGGCUAAUUCCGUGCCAGCAGCCGCGGUAAUACGGGAGUGGCAAGCGUUAUCCGGAAUCAUUGGGCGUAAAGCGUCCGCAGGCGGCCUUGAAAGUCUGUCGUUAAAGCGUGGAGCUUAACUCCAUUUCAGCGAUGGAAACUACAAGGCUUGAGUGUGGUAGGGGCAGAGGGAAUUCCCGGUGUAGCGGUGAAAUGCGUAGAUAUCGGGAAGAACGCCAGUGGCGAAGGCGCUCUGCUGGGCCAUAACUGACGCUCAUGGACGAAAGCCAGGGGAGCG
rnacentral:rRNA from 1 species